UACGUAGGGUGCAAGCGUUGCCCGGAAUUAUUGGGCGUAAAGAGCUCGUAGGCGGUUUGUCGCGUCGGCUGUGAAAUCCCGAGGCUCAACCUCGGGCCUGCAGUCGAUACGGGCAAACUAGAGUGUGGUAGGGGAGACUGGAAUUCCUGGUGUAGCGGUGAAAUGCGCAGAUAUCAGGAGGAACACCGGCGGCGAAGGCGGGUCUCUGGGCCAUAACUGACGCUGAGGAGCGAAAGCGUGGGGAGCGAACAGG
rnacentral:rRNA from 1 species